GAGGAAGCCCGGUGUGACUCCGGCGCGGUCCCGCCACUGUGAGCCCCCCGCAACGGGCUGGGCGAGCCAGGAACUC
rnacentral:ncRNA from 1 species